CUUGAACGCUGGCGGCAGGCCUAACACAUGCAAGUCGAACGAGGGGCGGACGGGUGAGUAAUGUCUGGGAAACGGCCUGAUGGAGGGGGAUAACUACUGGAAACGGUAGCUAAUACCGCAUACCAUCGGAUGGUCCCAGAUGGGAUUAGCUAGUAGUUGGGGUAAAGGCUCACCUAGGCGACGAUCCCUAGCUGGGCUGAGAGAAUGACCAGCCACACUGGAACUGAUACACGGUCCAAACUCCUACGGUGUGCAGCAGUGGGGAAUAUUGCACAAUGGGCGCAAGCCUGAUGCAGCCAUGCCGCGUGUAUGAAGAAGGCCUUCGGGUUGUAAAGUACUUUCAGCGGGGAGGCGUUACCCGCAGAAGAAGCACCGGCUAAUUCCGUGCCAGCAGCCGCGGUAAUAC
rnacentral:rRNA from 1 species